AUAUAUAGUACUUGUCUUGUAUUCCCAGUUCAUGUACAGUCCUGCCCUGCCCUGUUAUUGUUUUCCUCAUGUCUUGUGUACAUGUUCUGGGUUCUGCUUUCUGUCUUGCUGCGGUUCUGGGUUCUCCUAGUUUUGUCUUGUUUUCUUGUUUGGUGUCUAUUCUAGUCUUACCUUGUUUCUGUACUGGAUACAUAUUUGCUGCAGAGCCUCCCUAUUCAGAUCCUGGGAGGUCUGCAUAUUGUCACCUGGGAUCCGCAGUAGCUGCAUCAGGGCCCUGGUAUGUGGCUGCACAAACGCUGGUGCUCAACACCAGGGGGCGUGCGGUUACCCUGCACCAGGCCCUGAUAAUCCAUUACCACGCUGAGUCUCCCAUCAUCAUCAGGCACUCAGGGGUCCCGGUCUCCAUCCGCCACCCGAGACAUACAGUUUCC